CAGCUCCGCGGGUUACCUGGAAGCGGUGCGAGCGCCCAAUACCUGACAAGAACUGAGCCUGACUAUUACCAUGAUUGCAGCCUUCGCAGAACCUGAGCGAGAACCCAGUGAUGCCAUGGCUGUGCUGGGACUUCCGACUUUCAGAACUGUGGGCUAUUAAAUGGGUGUUGUUUUAAGCUGUUAGGUCUGUUUAAAUUCUUCAUGCAGCAGUAGAAAACUAAUACACAGGACAAUGAAGGAGACAGGCACAUGAAUAUAAAAAUGCAAUAUGCUGUUGUAAAGUUACAAAAUGGUCCU
rnacentral:lncRNA from 1 species